rnacentral:rRNA from 1 species
UACGUAGGGUGCAGGCGUUAAUCGGAAUUACUGGGCGUAAAGCGUGCGCAGGCGGUCUGCUAAGCGAGGUGUGAAAUCCCCGGGCUUAACCUGGGAACUGCGCUUCUAACUGGCAGGCUAGAGUGUGGCAGAGGGGGGUGGAAUUCCACGUGUAGCAGUGAAAUGCGUAGAGAUGUGGAGGAACACCGAUGGCGAAGGCAGCCCCCUGGGCUAACACUGACGCUCAUGCACGAAAGCGUGGGGAGCAAACAGG